GCGCGUCUUCCUGCGGGCUCCUCAUGCUGGUGCGGUGGGAGAGGCGGGCCGGGUCCGGGCGGCGGUGCUCUCUGGCCGCCCGCCCCCAGCUGGGCUCGGCGGGGCGUCUGCUCCUCUGGGCGGAGGCGCUCGCCACCCUUGGGCUCCACCAGGUAUCUCCUGCAUUCGCGCGCGGCGGAACGGGCAGCAGGAAGGCCGGGCUCGCGCUCGGGCGCUGGCGUCGGAGGGCCAGCUGCGGAGGCCUGCGGCAGGCUUGAGGGUCCGGCUGGCCAGGUGGGAGCCCGUCCAUCCAGGGCUCUCCAGCCCGCGAAGGGGCCAGUCUCCGUGGUUCCAGGUUCCCCAAGGCAGGGCCGGGGGGACAGGCUUCCAGAGAGGACCUCCUGCUGCUGGGUGCUCAGAGCUUGGAGAAGCCUCAUCAGAGAGGUAAAGGAGCCACCCCGAAGUUGCACAGCAGGCCAGGGAGCAGCAGCAAGGCUGAUGUGGACUGAGUGGAUAACUGCUUGUGUCCACAGGCCGGUAAAGUGAGAGAUUCCGUUUUUAAUGGUUAUUUUAUGUCAUGUCAUAGGGAGCCACUUCAGAAAAUUCAAAUCCACCAGAACUUUACUUACCUGGCCAGGGACUGUCACCCACCCGUAGAGACUGAAGCUCUGUGGGAGAACAGAAUUUCCUGGCCUGUGUCUUGGGAAUUUAAGGAUGAAAAACACAGCUCAGGGGCUUUUCUCAGCAUCAUACAAGCAAGCCAAUCAUAGAUGCUAAGACAGUAGUUACCUGCGAGCCCUAAGCAGGACUGGAAUUUUCCAGUUAGCAAGCAAGCAAGUUAGAGAAGCUAAGAAGCAGCUUGCAACUCAGUUAACUGCAUCUUGGGUCUGAGCAGGUGUUAGACAACCAUAUUCUGAGUCGGAGCAGGUGGUUAAUGGGGGCAAGAAUCUACUUCAAAGUCUUGGGUCACCAAGACCACCGUGUCCUGGGUUGAGUACAUUUUGUGGGGUAUAAAAUACAGAAAAAAGUAUAUUAUGAGAAAACAGCUUUCAUUUCAGUUUUUCAGAAACAGCUCUUGUAACAGUUUUUUAAUAGAAGGUAGUAAAAUGGAGGCCUAGGCCUAUGACAGUUCUUGCUUUAUAAUGGUCUUUUCUCAAUUCUAAAAAUCUUGUGUCCACCAUCUAUAUUUUUAACUAAUCUAUAACCUAUAACUUACACUUUUAUUGAUUGUAUUUAUCAGUUCACACUAGUCAGUGUGGACACAGGUAGAGAAGUGAGCAAACCUAGUCCCUGCCUUCAUGCCUGCCCCUGGAGGGCCAAGGACACCAUCGUAAAAAGUAUUCUGAGCAUGUCAGUGACAGGGACUGGGGACAGAGACACAGCCCUACCCUCAAAACCCCUGCCUCCUAAGGAGGCUUGCACACCAUGAUGAGCCACCUGAGAAGGGAACACUGCUGUGGAGCUCAGGACUUCACACUUGUCCUAGAGAGUAGUCUCCUGUGGGGCACACGGUGUGUUCUAACAGUUCCUGGGUCACCCGCUUCCUACUAGUACCUGGCCUCAAAGUGCCCGAGGGCUUGGAGCCUCUGAGAGCACCCCUGCUCUUCCUAGAAGAGUGGUGCCGCAUUCCCAAAGCCUCCGCCAGCACAUAGGACUGCUUCACCUACAGCUCCAUCUCCCACCAGACCUGAACCGUCUUCUCCCAGAAGUCGUCUCCAGGCAGAGCCCACAGAAAGGGGUGUUGGCCUGUAGCUGAAUCAUCUAAACGUUUCAUUUGGGAAAGUGCACUCUCAAACUCCUUGUGAGGUAGAACUCUGGUCACUUGGGGCCACUUCCCCUCAUGGAGGGAAGGCCAAACAUCCCUUCCCGACUUAGCAAAGAGAAUUCAAAGGAUUUAUAUUAAAAUAUUUCACUUAGAUGUGUGUUUCCCUUCCGUUUCCUGUUCACACUAGACCCCAGCUUCAGACUCCAGCCUGGUUGACCCGUACAAAUAGGUGGAAUAUUGUUACAUGGAGCACCACAUUUUGAGGUAAGAGAAUGUCCUAGUGGGUGAGAGUGACCAUCCUGGGACUCUGACACUUUGCCAAGAACACUGUCUGCGAGAGUGGUUCCAGGAGCCAGGUAGUCCACCCUCCUUGGAGCUGCAAGCAGAAGGGUGCUCCCCGUAUCUUAAUGGGGCUAUCUUUUACCAGCAUCUGAACGGGCCUGAUGUUUUUCAGGGUGUUGUGCUGGAAUCCAUCAGUUAGUACUUAGAGGCAAAACAAUACACAGAAGAAAUGGAACAGGAUUUUUUUUUUUUAAGGGAUUGAACCCAAGAGCAGGAUUCUUAACAAAUGAAAAGGUGCAGCUGACUCUUAAGAGACCUGGACCUUGCCUGUUACUCCUCUGGCUCUGGUUGACUAACUCUCGUGUGAACUGGUGCUGAGGUUGGGAUUCUGUCACGCGGACGUGUGGAUGGGAAUUCAGGUCUUCUCCCCGAGCGGUCCUUGCAAGAGGCUGACAUUUCUAUAGGACAGUGUCCGGACCAUGCAAGCACAGGCCUACUUGGUAGUUAGCUGCAGCUUUGGCCCCAAGUCUGAAUGAGAACAGCCAGUUGCUCAGGCAAGACGGCCGUGGGGGAGUCACCAGAGCAGUACCACGGCUGCCACCCCUCCUAAGAGGCCCAGUGGACGGCGGCAGAGAUCAGACAGUGUGCUCCGGAAGUGAUAUCGUUCAAUUUUUUAGACUUUCAGCACAGUUAACGACGUACUUCCAUGUCCAGGAGCUUUUCCAAAGCCCUGGAAGAAACUGUAUAAACUAGAAACAUUAUACAUUUGGUUAAAGACGAGAGUGAUUUGAGGGAAAAGGUGUGUGGGACUCUUGAGAAGGAGCCACUGAAGGCGAAGGGCCCUCCUUGUGCAGACCUCCAGGGGCAGGAAGGAUGGUGGGUGCUUGGGACACUAGAGCCAGCUGAGGGAGACGUGAGGGCCGGGGUGCGGAAGCCUUGGUAGUACAAGUGGAAGCCUUUGGGGAUUUGAGCGGGGAUAGGUGUGCGAUUUGCUGGCUGCUGUGGGCCAAGGGGGUAACCCACGUUUCACCCAGCUCAGCACUAAGAUGUGGGUGAUGGAGGCACCCCUCAGAAGCCCCUAUUCCAGAGCAUGCCCACUGAUCCCAGUGUGAAAGGGACAGUUAGGGAAGUGGAGAAAAGAAAGCCACGUGGUGGCCAUUCAUUCCUGGUGCACACAGAACCCUGCUGGACACUUGAAAUCCCUGCCCCAGCAAGAGGAGGGAGCCGGGGACGGGUGAGAUGAGGUGGGAGCUCGUAGCACCAAAAGCACCUUGAUCUGCUAUUCAGUCUUGCCCUUUCAGCCACAGAGCAGCCGGCGGUGCUGUCUUCCCCGCACAGAGCCUCAGCCACGCGCAGCGGGAAGCUGCCUCGAGGGGCGUGCUGUCAGGAGGAGGAGCUGGGAGCCCUCAGCUUCCAGGGUGCCUUCUCCCAGGAUCAGCAUGGAGAAGCCUGCAGGCAGGAAAAGGAGAACCCAGGCCCCAGAGGCAGAGGCAGAUGUGCAGAAGGCCACUCUGAAAGGAGAGAAAGCAUCUGGUGGCAAGAGACCCGCAGCACCCAGAGAGCACCACAAGGAGCCGAGUCUGAGCCCUGAAGACGAGGCACAGCUCUUUGAUGCCUUCGACGCCUCGUUUAAAGAUGACUUUGAGGGUGUCCCUGUGUUCAUUCCUUUUCAGAGAAGGAAACCCUAUGAAUGCAGUGAGUGCGGACGAAUCUUUAAGCACAAGACGGAUCACAUUCGCCAUCAGAGAGUUCACACUGGGGAGAAGCCCUUUAAGUGUGAUCAGUGUGGGAAAACGUUCCGGCACAGCUCUGACGUCACCAAACAUCAGAGGAUCCACACUGGGGAGAAGCCGUUUAAGUGUGGGGAGUGUGGGAAAGCCUUCAACUGUGGCUCCAACCUCCUGAAACACCAGAAGACCCACACCGGAGAGAAGCCAUAUGAAUGCCAAGAGUGUGGGAAAGCCUUUGCCUACAGCUCCUGUCUUAUCCGGCACCGGAAACGCCACCCACGGAAGAAGCAUUGAGUGGGGGUGGCCUUCAGGUCACAGAGUUCCUGCUGGGGCACCAGGGCUCCCUCAUGCAGCAUCCGGUGAGGCCUGGGCCCUGUGCUGUGUGCUGUGCGUGCCUCUGGCUACCAUCCCUGUCGUCACCAGAAGAAUCCACCCAUCAGUGUGAGUUGGCAAGAGGCCUUUCUGCAUCAAGCUACAGUGGUGGCACGGAAGCUGCUCGAGGCUCCUUGCAGCCACAGCCAUUUUCCAUGCUGCUCUAUGCUGCUCAGUGCUCAACACAGAACAAACCAGCCUGUCACCUGCCAUCCAUGGGAUACCUGAGGACACCCCUGGGUUCAGUCCCCAGUAGGAGUGGCAUUCGUAGUUGGUGAAGGCUGAUGGCUCCUGAGUGGCCCUGCCUAUGGUGUCCACUCCACUCUGGUCCUGUUACUAACACCUUGAAGACUCCAUCUGUGGAUGCUCAGCCCCUUGGAUCCCUGAGUUUAGUCCCAGGAACUGAGCAGGCACCUGGGGCCCCAAGCUGGAUAGCAGUGGUCUGUGACCAGCUCUGGCUUCUUUACUAGGGUACCAGGCCCCAAGUUCAGCCCCGUCCCUGGAACUGAGCCGCACCUGUGCUCUCCCACCCAGCCGCCACCCCAGAUGGACAACCUGACUUACCCAGACCGACCCGUCAGACAUGGGCUCCUCGGCUCCUGAGUGCUGCCGCCUUGGGAGAUUCCUGCCCUGGCCGUGUGCUAGGCCCCCAGGGUGCUACCUGCAGCUUCCAUCCACUUGACCUUCAGACAUGGUGGUGGCCCUACCCCCUUGGUGGCCUCCACUCAGGUUAGU
rnacentral:lncRNA from 1 species